GCCCAUGGGACUGUCAAAUUUGACACCAUGAAUCUAAAAUGUCAUCCCUGUGGCAAAUAACAUCUGGGUUGGAGCUGUUUUUCAACUGUCAAAUAUUGCUGAUGAGACUCCACGCAGGAAAUAACAUCUCCACUGGAGAUGCUCUAAGACUUCAUUCUCAUCCUCAUCCUUAAAUCGAUUCUCGUCGAUUGCCAAACUCUCUCUCUCUCUCUCUCUCUCUCUCUCUCUCUGUUUUUCAAAAUCAAUCACUAGAGUAUCAUAUCAAGCCCGGAAUCAGAUAAGCUUGAUCACAUAUCACGUAAGUCAAAACGAUCACAUGUCACAUAAGUCAAACUGACCUGGUGGGUGUGUUACUAACCGAGUUGGCUUAUUGUCUCACCGCCGCAGACAAAAAAACUGGUUCUCCUCGUUUGGGUUUCGCUCUCCAGCGCUGUUUGUUGAAAAUCUAUAUGGAGCAUAUCCAGAUUGAAAGUAUAAGAAUGAAAUCUUGUACUUGGUCUUGUCUGCAGAAUUUAACUUUCUAUCGAACUAAGAGAAGUAUAAAACAAUGAACAAAGAGAUUUGUUAUCGACAAUCUAAACCUCUAAAGAGGAAACAUCACUGCGAGACCUUAUAGUAGUCCACACUCAAUCAAUUCACUAAAACUUUGAAGAAGUUACAAUUGAAUCAAAUAGUGAUAUACAUCGUUAUCACUUUCAUAAGUUACAAUAACAAACUUGAUUUUACAGCUGAUGAACUCUUCUAGGAUAAUAAUGAAUUCUAAUUGAAAAACCUUUGCAACUUCUUUCAAUUCCACUUCCAACUACACUGAUCUCAGAUCAUACAAAUGAUAGAUGAUGCAGUGAACAAGAAUGAAUGAGUUUUAAAACAGUUUAGCAACAAUAGACAAUAUCACAAUGCUCUUAUCAAAAGAAUGUAAAACUCAAUGCUUUAACAGAUUACUUCUAGGCAGAUAUAUAGUGACACAACUCCCCCUUAAUCGGAUCCCAUUGAUUACUGAUUGAACCUGAGAGGGAAAACUUUUUCAAAAAACAAAUUUGUUGACAGGAAAUAAGAACUAAGCAAAUCUUUUUCAAAACCUGUCAUAAAAGAUUUCCUAAACUAUCUCAAAGAUAUUUUAGUCAAUCUAAACCAUAAAACGACUUAAUCUUUUCUUUAAACAAUAUACCAAAAACAUGAUAUGUAUAUGCAUGAAAUGCAAUUACCUUAGAUGAUCUGAAAUCAAUGAAGUCGAGGUAAAUCAGUUGACUUUUCUUCUAAACUCGUGGUUCUCCUUGCUGGACCGGGAAACCUCUACUUCCUGGUUUUUCUGCAGACAUCCUUUCCUUCUUUGGACUUGAAUAUGACUGCCAUAUACUUACACAGAUUGACACCGAGGAUUAUCACCAGGAGGAGGAGGUUUCUAUCGUUGUGGAUCAAAAUUCCGGGUCGGAUCGCACCGAAUCUAAGCAGAACGAUGAAGAUUCCGAGUAUUGCGCUGAUUCGAAUACCACGGAUGAUCAGUUUGGGGUUUUCACCAGAAAUGGGAUGAUAUUGAGGGUGAAUGGAUCGAGUGACGAAUACGAGACUAUUCUCAAGAGCUUUGGUGUUGGGAUGGGAUCGGCGGCAGGAGUUACGGAGGUUGUGGCGGUGCACAAGAAUUUGGUUUCUGGAUUGAUCCGCCGGGCGAGGUUUGAAACAUUUCGGGUGUUUUCACAGGCAGUGGGGAAGAAAUGCGGUGGAAACCCGAACAUUAGGUUUGCUUGGUACAGCGGAUCGAGAGAUGAGGUUGCUGAUAUUAUGGUUCAUGGGUUUAGUAAUGUGAAUGCUGAUGAAGUAUGCGUUGGAUGGAGCAAGUGCAUCACAGGUUGGUGAUGAUGGGCUCAGGCAUAUGCUGCUGUGCCGUGUUAUACUGGGGAAGAUGGAAGAGGUGCCUAGUGGUUCUGGACAAGUUGUUCCUGGUUCGAAUGAGUUUGAUUCUGGUGCGGAUAAUGUUGUGAAUCCUCGAAGGUAUUUUGUGUGGAGUCCAUGCAUGAACUCGCACAUUUGUCCUGCUUAUGUUGUGAGCUUCAAGGGUCCUGCUAGCUUGGAGGGUUAUGUGACAAGUACUACUACUACUACUCAGACGGGAAGUAUCGCUAGUGCUGUAACUCAGGGGAAUGCUCGCUACAAGAGAUCAGCGCUUGGAAAUGUUACUCUUGUAGCUCUGCUGGCCGCGCUGACGAGAUUCUUGACUCCUCGAGAAAUGAAGAUAGUUGUCACAUUGCUGCAGGAUUUCAGGGCAAAGAAGUUUGACGCAGACGAGUUGAAGCGAAAAGCGAGACUCAUAGCUGGUGACAAGUUGAUCUCGGCAAUGAAAUUGGCGGCUGUUAAGGGGAGUAGUACUCUUGGUGGCUUGCAGUUGGAGAAUGGAUCAGUGCGAGAUAUAUAUCUCCCUGGUCUGAUAACCGUGCUUGCAGAGUUCUUGCCUGCUCAGAAGAUUGAAAUGCUUAGCAAAAGCCUUGGCGAUUUCAAGGCUAAGAAGAUAAAUCGACCUCAGCUGGCUACAAGUGUGAGAGACAUUGUAGGCAAUGACAAUGUGUUGGUUGCAGCAAUCAACUCUUACAGAAUCAGUAAGCACCGGCCGCAAGACAAGCAGUCAAUUGUGUGAAGAAGAUUAGUUACUAGUCCUUGUUUAAACCAGCAUCUGUUUUCGUUUUGCUUACAAGCUUAGUCCUGCAUAUGAUCCAUAUGUUCCUUCACUUUUUUCCAUGAUAACAAAUCUUGUAAUAUGACACUUCCUGUUUCCAGUCCAAACAUUAUCAAGGACCAAAAGUACAGGAUCUUGUCCUGUUUUAUUCAGAAUUUGUUGCAGCCUGUCAAGCGCAAUUUCUUCAGAUUGGAAACAAGUAUUGGGAUACCCUCUUUUACACAUAUUUCCUGUACAACCUCGGUGUUGGGCCUAUUUGAAACAUAGACAAAGAUGAACUCUUGAAUUUGUCUGUCCAAACAUUUUAUAAGAACACUGUCAGCAGUAAAAGUCCAUUCUGUUUACAACCGUAGAAACAUACAGAUAGAAGAAAGCAUAAUGCAUAACAUGCAUGAAUAUUUAUAUAUCAAUUGCAGGUUUUUAGCAAGUGCUUACAGAAAAAGGAGAGCACGUACAAAGUUUAGGGUAAUGCCAUCAAGAUUAAGGGAAGAAAAUCUGAAAAGAAAAUCACAUAUAUUGCUGCAGUAUUUAUUUGAGAAAAGAACAAGAUCAAGAAUGAAAAUUCAUAACAAAUAGUGAAAAUUCAAACACUGUACUCCACAGAUUUUACAACACCCAGUAUUUAAUGUUGUACAACAUGAUUUACAGAAGCAAAGAAAAACAAAGAAACAAACGACGGAAACAAGGAAGAAAAUGAGCACACGUACAUGACACAUGUAUAGAGAAAUGAAAGCUCUCAAGUCUCAAGAGUAUACUGAUGAAGCCAAUCUAGGCUGAAUUUCUCUUUGACCACCGUGAUGUUUAUGUUGUUUCUGAGACUGGGCAAGUGAGGUUUCCAUAACCGUUCUGUCUCCUCAUCACAUAUCACAUCAGUUAACUUUUCAAGAUCUGAAAUUGAUUCAGGCAGCUCAUCCAAUCUCGAGCACUGCCGCAUGUUGAUGUUUUCUAAGCUGCACAUUUCACCAAUAUAUUCAGGCAACUCCUUAACGCUGUAGCAAUUGGAUAUGUCAAGAACCUUUAACUUUUUGAGUUUCCUAAUUGAACCAGGAAACUCUGACAGGUCUGUGCAGGACCUUAAUCUCAAAAGUUCUAAAUUGACAAGCUCUCCAAUCAUUUCAGGCAACUCAGAUAGCUUAUGACAGUUGGUGAUACUGAGCUUCUUUAGAUGGAUUAGGCGACAGAUGUCAGCAGGUAAUUCCACCAAAUCACUGCAAUAGUCAAUGUUGAUUUCUUGAAGUUCUGGGAAUGCCUCUUUGAUGGAAUCUUUGCUAAAAGCUGGCCCCAUGUUACACAUGAAGAAAGAUAUCUUCUGCAGUCUCUUCAAUUCUAUGGGGUUCUUGGUAAUGGAAGAAAUAGAAAUUCGCUCUAACCUUAUCGUUUUUAGUUUAGAUAAAGAACCCAACAAUGAAAAAUUACUCACUUCAGCUGGUAAGAAUCCAUUUGUGACUAUUAGAACCUUCAAUUUCUUCAUCUCCUUCACAAAUUCGGGCAAUCCAUAGUUCUUUGUGUGGGAAUUCAGAACUAAAACUUCAGCUUUCGGUAGUUGUAUGUCGCGCCAUUUUGAUGAGAAGUGACUAUCUGCAAACGAUAUCAUACAUGUAUGAAUAUGUGAGUACAAUGAGAAAAACUGCAUGAAUAUGUGAUGUGCUGAACUGCUGAUGUAGACAAACAUAUGUAUGCUAAGGAGAGAUGGAACAACCAGUUGAUAUAGAUACAAGGUGAGCUUUUUCGAAGGGCUGAUCCAUCUGUUUUUUCCACCAUUUGGGAAAUUUGUUUCCACGUAUGUCUAUAAUCAGUCUUUCCCUCUGUUCUAUUGGGACCGUAUCCGUAUGGUGGAUAGCCAGCUCUCUAAGUAGAUCAUGUUGGGUAACGAAGUGUUCGACAUAGUCGUCCAUAUCCCCCUCGUCAUUCCUGGUAAUUAUCAAAGCUAAGUUACUUAGAAGAGAUAUCUUGAUCGUGCAACAGCUAUUUGAGAAAUUAAAGGAUGAAGAAAUUGCAUACCUCGUGAUUACAAGAUUUGCCAGCCUCCAGUUGUUGAGGUAGUGGAGUAUUGCAUUACAUGAACUACGUUUAUCUGUCCACAUAUCAUUGAGGACAGAAACAGGAAUCAUUCGGCCUUGAGGAAAUGAAGCAAGGUCUUUGAAACAUUCCUUGAUAUCGACGAUGGUAUCUUCUUCACCCAGAGCAUCUAAACUACUUUGAAGGCAAACAAGCACAUGGUUUUGAAACCUAAUGACAGGAGAACCGCUAGACCAUGCUUCUACUCUAUCUUUCCAGAUCACAAUUUCCUUGCCGAGUGAUCUACCGACCACUUCAAUGGCGAGUGGAAGUCUCUUACAGAACUCCACUACCUGUUCAGUCUCACAUAUAAAGAUAACAACAUGUGACAAUAUGCUCAAGUAUUGUUAUAGAAGGUUUAGUUUAGGUACAUAUUUACGAAUAAGUAUGGAUACACUGUCAUGUGUAUGGAUUCCUUCAUUUGUAAGAAAUAUGCAUGUACUUAUAAUAGGAAGAAAGCUCACUUUUCUCUGAAGAUCUUCUGGAAUAGAAGAAGAUUCUGUGAGGCCUGCUGAAUUACGGAGAAGGCUCAUUGCAUCUUUCUCAUUCAAAUCUUCUAUCUGGUGUUUAACAUCAAAUUCUGGCAAAUCAGAUCUUGAUGUCACCAAAAUCUUGUGAUUUGAUUCUUUGAACUUACAGCUCGCGAGGAGAGAUCGUGUCCUGUUUCCAGGCCAAACAUUAUCAAGGACCAAAAGUACAGGGUCAUUUCCUGUCCUGUUAUUCAGAAGUUGUUGCAGCAAGACAAGUGCAAUUUCUUCGGAUUGGAACCCCAACAAUUUCUUACCGUCUUUUUCACAUAUUUCCUGUACAACCUCGGUGUUGGGUCUUUGUGAAACGUUGACAAAGAUGAUCUUGAAUUUGUCUAUCCAAACAUAAUAUAAGAACAAAGUCAGUAAUAGGCUUAAUUUAUGUUUCCAAGUGUCGAAACAUACAGAAAGGGGCAGGCAUAACAUGAAUAUUUAGAUAUAAAUUGCAGGUUUUAACAUGUGCAUACAGAAAGACAAAGUUAUACUGAUUAGCAUCUGCAAACAGUAAAACAAAGCUAUAGUUCCUAUUGAUUAAGAGCCUAUCACUUUUGAAAGAAACAACAAGUCGAGAAUAUUUGAAAUGAGGUAGGCUUUUCACAGAAGUAUUGUAACACACUACAAUUGAAGUUUCAUAAGACAUAAAAAUCAUAAUUCAAGGCAACUACUCAUAACAUCUCAUAUGUAUACCUUUCACUUUCUCAUCUUGACAAACAGAUUUUGCCAUAGUGGUUUUCCCAGCUCCUGGAUGACCAGUGAUUAGAGCCAUUGUCACCCCAUCCUCAAGAAGUUUCUUCUUCAAUUCAUCCACUUGUGAUUCGAAUCCAACAGUAAAUGGUGGUGGUUUAGGUACUCCGGGCCAUCCAGUCUUAACUUGAUUUUGCACUAGGCCAUUCAUCUCUACAAUAGUAUGAUGAUUGUUAUUCAAAUUUCCUGUUUCCAACAUAAUACAUAAUUCGGAGAGCAAUAAAAAAAUUGUCAGAAAUGUUUCCAAGAAAGUCACCUUGGUUUCUCCUCAUCAUUUCCUCCAACUUUGCAUCCAAUCCAGCAAUUUUGUUGGUGUUUUCCUCUGCCGUGACCGAGAUAUCCUUCAGCAACCGAGUAUGUUCUUCUGUCACAACUAAGACCUCCUUCACAUCCGUAACAAUAACCUUCACAUCCUUACUAGUAUCCUUCACACCCUCACUAGUAUUCUUUGCCACAACCAAGGUCUCCAUACCAUCACACACUCCCUGCACCUUCAAUAUCUUCAAGUGUCUCUUGAGAGACUCAUUCCACUCCACAAGUUGGUCGGUGUAAUCGGCCUUCCAGAAGCUCCACUCACUAAUCUUCACCAGCUUAUCGAUCAGUUCUUUUCCUCUCUGCAUUGUUUCUUUCAGCUUUUCUACUUCCCUUGCUCGGUUACCACCCAACGCAUUGUUAUGAGCUUCUAACUUCGGGAUCAAUGGGCUUAAAGAAUCCACUGUGGAUUUGACGCUUUCGAGGGUGGGAUCAAACUCCAAAGCCUUCUCCACCACUUCCCUAAGGACAUCUAACGCCGGUCCAAGUGCUCCUCCAGCACCAGCCCCUACAAACACCUCCAGUGCAUUGAAUUUAACCAUUCUCGACAGAAACUUGUAUAUCUCCGGGCUGCACAAGUAGAAAACAUAACGAAAAUUAAGUCACUCUUAAACUUGGAAUUGUCCAACUGAAGGUACACUGGAACUAAUCGAAACAUGGUACAAAUUAAACUUUACCUUGCUUACCGGAUCUGAACAGUUGCUUAGGAUUCUCAAGAGAUCAAAGACCGAGUACGUAGCUAGCACUAGGCUUUAGGUGUCACUCUUAAACCCGGCCCUAAACCGUAGAAUUGCAGAAGGAUGCACCACUUCUCUCUACGAAUCACUGUUAUGACUCUCUUCUUCAGAAGCUCAGACACAUCAACUGCCUGUUAUAAUCAGCUAUUUUUAUUCGAAGAUGAAGGUGACCCACCUACUACCGCGUUACCCUUUACAUAUAUUCAACAAUGGCGACUGACAAACACUUCACUUUUUCAGUAACAAUAUACGUGAUGGUGGAGAUGGUUUGGCAGCGAGUGUAGAGUAACUUAGUGAAUAGCUUUACAAAGAGAACUGUACUAGUAAAAAAAAAAAAAAAAAAAAAAAAAAAAAAAAUUAACUGAAGACGCUGAACUAGGCAAUGUGGAACUACUGCUGUAAAUCAGUAAAUGUAUCGCUAUAGAGCUAACGCGUCAAUGAAGCGAGACCGACCACAUUUCCAGAAGACUUACAGAAGAAGACAAGCUUAACCUUAUGUUCUCUUUUUCUCGUCUGAUUGAAGAAGAGUAGAAGACUUGGGGCAAUGACUUGCAUUUCAUGGAUCUCCACAAAGGAAAUUGUAAAUCCUACUAUAGUAAUAGUAGCUGGCAAAUAUGAGGAAGGAGACCGCUAUAAGAAUUAGCCUUUAUUUAAAUUCAACCAGGGUUGAUGCUGUUCACACUUCACACGUUACUAUCACUGUUAUUAGUAUAUUACAAUGCAGAAUCAAAUGCAUCUUGCACUAAUUAUCUAGUACAACUUACAGAACAAAGAACAAAAUAAAGGAAAAAUAAAGUAAAAUUAGAAACAAACAGAAAAGAAAUACAACAACAAACAACAAAUAUGUUCUAGAAUUUAAGGUAAAGAUCCACAACAACUGCACUGUCUGAUAUUGAGCUUCCCUGAAUGUGAAUAUUUCAAAUGUCAUGCGCAGCUUUAAUCAUCGGAUAAGUCCAGAAAGUUCAGCUUAUUGAGGUUCCUUUGAGACGAAUGAUACCAGCAUUGCUUCAACAUUUAUUAUUUUCGAAAAGAAAGGUCUCAGAAAUGAGACUUGUGGAGCCAAUUGAGGUUGAUAUCUUCUUUCACAACCUUAAUGUGCAUGUUUGUCAGAUAGGGUAAGAAGGGUUCCCAUAAAAUUUCUGUCUCUUCAUCGCAUGUCACUUCCUUCAAGUGUUCAAGAUCCAAAACUGAAGAAGGCAGCUCAUUCAAUCUCGAGCACUGUCUCAUGUUGAGCCUUUCUAAGCUGCACAAUUCUCCAAUGUUCUCAGGCAAUUCCUUCAUGCUAAAGCAAUCCGAUAUGUCAAGAAAGUUCAACUUCUUGAGGUUCCUAAUAGAGCCAGGUAACUCUGACAAGUCUGUACAAGACCUAAGCCUCAGCAGCUCUAAAUUGACUAGAUUUCCAAUGUCUUCAGGUAAGGCAGAGAGCUUAUGAGAAUUGGUAACACUGAGCUUCUUGAGUUGUAUAAGGUCACAGAGUUGGGCAGGCAACUCAACCAAAUCAUUGCAGUAGUCAAUAUUCAUUUCAACAACAUUUGGAAACGCCUCUGAUAUCUGUAUGGUACCGUUACCAAAACCUUGGCCGAUGCAACACAUGAAUAGAGAAAUCUUUUUCAAACUUUUCAACUGUAUAGGAUACCUGCUUAUGGAAGGAAGUGAUAUUCGCUCCAAUCUGAUUCUCUUUAAACUUGGUAUCGAAUCAACUAGUUGAAAGUUAUUCAACUCGGUAGGACUACUACUGCAACUUGUGAGUACUAGAGUCUUCAGUUUUUUCAUUUUCUCUACAAACUCAGGUAAGGCAUAAUACUUGGUCUGAAAAUUCAAAAUCAAAACCUCUGCUUCUGGUAGUUGCAAGUUUUGCCAUGUAGAUGAGAACUCUUCAUCUGCAUAUAUUACGGUAUAUGAUGUGAGAUGGGAUAGAAUUAUAUGAUCAAAAUCAUACCAUUGUGUGUUAUUAAGAAUUAUCUGCAAAAGAGGAGAUGUAACAACCUGUCGAGAUAGAUACUACACGAGCGAUGAGGGAUUGAUACUUUUGUUCUUUCCACCACAUAGGAAGGUUGUCUCCACAUAUGUCAAUCAUAAGUCUCAUUCUCUGUUGUAGCGGUUCCUGACUCGUCUGUCGGAUAGCCAACUCCCUAAGCAUGUCAUGCUGUGUAACGAAGUGUUCAGUGUAAUAGCCAUCACUGUACUUGUUGUCCUUCCUGCUGGUUAUAAUCAAAACCAAUUUGCUUAAGAGAUUUCUUCAACACAUAUGUAUUGCAGUAGAAAUUAUGAGAAGCAGCUGCACAUGGACAUAAAGGAAAAACUUGAUUGACUAGAUCAACUAAGUGAAACAGAAGCCUAUAUACCUUGUGACCACCAGAUUAGCCAAACUUUGAGAGGCAAGUUCAUAGAGGUGUGAAAUUGACAAAAUAUCUUCAUGUAUGCCAUAUAACUCUGCCCACAUAUCAACUAGGACAGUAGCAGGGAUUCUUUGAUCUUCGGGAAAUAAACCAAGGUCGAUGAAGCAUUCCCUGAUAAGAGGCUUCUCUUCAUCCAACGCAUCUAAGCUACUUUGGAGGCAAUCAAGCAAAUCAUGUUCAGACUCAAGAACAGAUGAACCUCUAGACCAUUCCAAUACUCUUUUUUGCCAUAUCUCUAUUGGCUGACCGCAUAGUGAUCUUCCGAGAACUGUAAUUGCUAGUGGAAAUCCCAUACAACGCUCAACUAUCUGCAAAGCAGAAUUCAUCUAGUCAAUAUUGCUCUUUGAGUCGAUCAUUAUUUACCGAUAUGUGCAUGAAUACUUGGCAUAGAAAGUGAAUGUAUAGUAUCUCUUCAUCUUUUCCUGCUCUCGCAUUAAUAUGCAUAUAUGUUUUGCAUUGCAGACUAUAAAAUCACCUUUCUCGGAAGAUCUUCUGAUAUAUAAGAGCUCCUGUCUCCUAAGGAUGCUGCAUGGUGAAAAAGUGCCAUUGCAUCUGCAUCGUUCAAACAUUCUAGAUAAUAUGGAGAACCAAAUCUUGGAAAACUAGACCUUGAUGUAACCAAUAUCUUGCAAUUUGUCAUUUUUAAUUCAUCAAACUUCUCCAGAAUAAAUUCUGAUCCAGCCCAGACAUCAUCCAGGACCAACAACAUAGGAUUUUGUCCAGUUUUCUUCAGAAAUUGGUGCAUCCAGCUAACUGCAGUUACAUCACUUUGGAAAUCGGGGACCUGGGCACCCGUUCGAUGAUAUAGCUCUUGGACAAUCAGAAAUAAGUUGUGCUUCUUUGUGACAGUAACAAAGAAGAUAUUGCUCUUGAAUUUAUCUAUGCAAACAAAAGACAAGAAAGUAAUCACUAGGAGGCACUUUAAAGUUAUAUGCAAUUGUGAAGAGAUUUAAACAUGCAGAUGGUGAGGUCAUAAAGUGAUAAAACUGUAUCUAACUCAACAAUAGGCCUAACUUAUUGAAACAGUAAGAAGUGUUGCUAUGAAGCAUGUAGUCAUGAAGCUAUGAAGUUAUGUUCCACAGAUAGUGAGACUUGGCCUUUUUGCCAUAUUGAAUAAAAAGCUUGACAAUAAUCAUAUGGCAUUCUUCAAUUAGGAUAUGAAAUUUCUAAUUUUGAGAAAGCAAGAAAACAUAUCAGCAAAUUAGAAAACAUUCAUAUACAAUACCUUUGAUUUCUGCAUCUUGGCACAACUUUGUAGCCAGGGUAGUUUUCCCACAUCCUCCGGGAGCAGUAACUAUCACCAUCGAAACUCCAUAAGUAAAGAGCUUCAUUUUCAGUUCCCUCAGAGGCACAUCCAAUCCAACCGUAACAGUCGUAGGUUCAGGCACAGCACACCACCCUUCAAUUUUCUCAGACUGAAUGUUCUGUAUCACACAAUUCCCUUCAAUUCUCUGAACCACAUUCUCAAUAUUCCUCAUCGAAAUCAAUGCCUUCUUAACAUCCCUUAUGCCCUGCACUUUCAGUAUCCCCAACAGCCUCUGAAGUGACUUACCCAAUUCAACAAGCCGGCUGCCAUACUUAUACUUCUUGAACCUGCUCGCUUUCGAGCACUUGCGAAUAAGCUCCACUCCUUCUUCCAUUUCCACACUAAGAUUCUCUAGCUCCUCCCCUUGACCAUCCAACUCCUUCUCACACUCUGCCAUCUCCUUGAUCAGUGGUUCCAAAGAGUGCAGAGUGGAUUCGAUAUCCCCGAGUUGGGAUUUGAACACCAUCAUAUCCUUCACUUGCUUGAGAGAAUCACACAGCGUCCAAAAUGUCACUGACAAACGCGCUCCUCCGAUGAAUACCACUGCCAUUACACAACACAUCAAAAUCAGCAAUCUCUAGAAGAAACAAAAAAAAAAAANNNNNNNNNNNNNNNNNNNNAUGCAGCUUGUUUGAAUUACACAAUAAACAAGAAAGGAAAAAAAAAAAAAAACUUAACCUGAAAAAUAAAAAAGACAGCAAUAAAAUGUUACUGUUCUCUUCUGUAGAGCGGAGGAGAAUAAUCAGCCGGAAAACUAGGGGGAAGAUCGAAUCACCAUGAAUACCACUGCCAUUACACAACACAUCAAAAUCAGCAAUCUCUAGAGAACAAAAAAAAAAAACAACAUCAAUGGCAUAUGAAACCAGAGAGAAUAUACAUAAGAUGAUUGCUUACUCUUGCUUUGAGUUAAUACGAGGUAAAGUCGCAAUCAAAUGCUUUCUUAGAAUAACAAGGAAUCUAAUUUCCUAAACAGAGCAAAGAGUUUUGCGUUGUUUGAAACUCCCUCUCUAGAACUCGAUUCGUUUAAAUAGAGAACAACAGCCCGCGUCCUCGAUGAAUAGUAUAUUGUUCUGUUCCAAAAGUAAAACGAAAGGAAAUGACCUGUGGGGCUCCUGGCAUAUUCUGCGUAAACUACUGAGGCCUGUGCCGCGUAAACGUCAGGUCCGGGAAGCUUGCAUGACACAAUUAGGCCCAAUUAUUGGAAUAAAUGCUCUGGCCCAAUGUUUUUGUCACUCUUCGAAUAUUACAAUCCACCCCCCUUUUUUUUGUUCUCGUUAAAACUAGUAUAAACAUAACAAAAUAUAAUAACUUACUAAAUCAGAAGUGUGGAUCGUAAAAUAACAAGUGUAAAUUUCAAAUGAGAGUCGCAAUCAUCUCUCUUGCAGUCGGUAGCUCUUAUAAUCCUACUUAAGUAUAUAAUAUUUAUACAAUUAAUUUAAUAUAUUAUUUAAAUAAUAAGAAGUAUCGCGAUGGAGGACCUUGUCACCUUGAAACCAUGGUUGUUAAAUUGUCAUGAAGACCCUCUCUGUUACGCCAAGUGAUGAGUCAUGAUUUGUUAAAACAAAAACAAACAAAAAAUCAUAAUUAGGUCAUGACAAGAAUGGCUCCGUAAAAGAGCAUACACGUUUGCAGAAAUUCACACAUUUAUAUCUUUGGUCGAUACAUCAUUUUUCUUUCCUAUUAGUACGUGCACGUUGUAUUUAUGAUCUGUCCAAUUAUGAAUUUUCCAAAGAAAUUUUCCUUUUAAACAGAUGUAGCUUCGUGUACUGCUAGUCUGCAAAAGAAACACACUUGGAGCCUUUGAGGUAAUUUGGAUGACAUAGUAUCGCAUUUGAGUACGUAGUCUUGUAGAUCAUGUCGUAUACACACGGGCCGGGGCAAGGGAUUUUCCUAUGAAAAUGUACUAUAAAUUUUAGUAAUUUACCUUCAAUCCAAUUCCGUAUUCUUAAGUUGAUAGUGUAUGUAUUCAAAGCAGCAAAAAACCAUUCAACGGAACGUUGUAUUGAAAAUUUGAAAUAAUCGGUGUGCAGACGAAUUAGAAGUUGAAGAACUAAUAAUAAUCAACUAUAUUAAUUAGUUGAUACAUAAUGUCCCUAUUAUGUAUAUAUCUUCAAUUUCUUCUUAUCCUAGGGGUCGUGGGAAGAAGCAGAUUAAGGCUGUUUUCAAAUAACACCGCAAGAAAGCAUAAACAUUUGAACAUAAUCAAACGUUUGGCGAUGCUUUGCACAAUUUCCCCCUAAGAUAUUUUAUUUUGUCCCUUUCAGUUGGUACACAUCCGUAGAUUGUAUCUAUCUUGUCAAAUGAGAACUUUCUUUUUUUUUUAAACAGCAAAUGUUGAUGUAAUUGUGUUUGUGGUUAUGGCUGAUGAAGGAAAAACUGCUUCAAAGGCACGUAAGUAUUUACGCUGUCCUUUAGACUUUAUUUGCCCCACAACUAGUGUGCAAAGGGGUUUGAUCAAAUAAGCCUUUAGGAUACAAUGAAGCCUAGCACUUGCUAUUGUUGUUCUUCGUUUUGCACUCACGAAGAUCAACCUUACACUCGAUUAAAGGUUUACAAGAAACUCAAGGUUGCUAGAAACUAUAUCUGCAGUUUUAUAGUUUCUAGAUUUUUGCUGGUGUUAAGAAAAUAUAGAUGGAGGUUUGAGAAGAGAGAAACAGGUUUCCUGAUAUAUAGAUAUGCAGAAGAACUNNNNNNNNNNNNNNNNNNNNCUCUCUAACAAUCCUCCACCAUUUUCAAAAUAUAAAAGUAUAUAUAAUACAUAAAUAAGUUUCAAAAAUAUUUUGGAAAAUCCUUGAGCAGAUAACUUGGUAAACUUAAUGCAUAAACUAAGGUGUCUUGUGGACUUGAACCUUAGCUUAGUGAAAAUACAUCAAAGUUAAAUCAGAAUGGCGAAGUAGCUUUGCUUUGAACUUGCGAUUCUAUUGUGACUUAACCGGACAUAUCUCACACAUUAGUCUUCUACUUCUUUCGAGUGUUUUACAAACCGACACGUGGAUUGGCCUUGUGUCUUGUAUCCUUUUCAUGAGUGCUCUAGAGACUAGUCCAAGUCACAUAGAAGGCGGCACCACCUUCGACACUCAUAUAGGUAAGCAUGUAGUACCCCUAUAACUAAAGUACUUUGCAUCAUGCCUAUUAAGAGUUUUAUAAACUCAACCUUCACCAUUCAUUAUAGGUACCAAGCACUUUUUACACCUUGGAUGGAUAUCAUAUAUAUAUGUAUACAAAUAUAUAAUCAAUUUAUAUUAGUGCUUGCAAUCUCUACAUAUGACGUACUUUGCUCAUUGAACUCAAGAACUUGAUGUUUCAAGUGUUGAGUUGAGUUUCCAUCAUUGGUGAUUAUUAGUAAUGGACUUUAACCCCAUCCCCUUUGAUGUUUUCCACACCAAAUCCCUUGCAAGUCCUUUUGUUAAUGGAUCAGCCAAGUUAUGACAUGACCUUACAAAAUCAAUGGUUAUUAUACCAUCAGUUAUUAGUUGCCUCACAGAGCUAUGUCUCAAGCCAAUAUGCCUUGAUUUGCCAUUAUAUGUUUGACAAUAAGCCUUUGAUAAUGUUGCUUGGCUAUCACAAUGAAUAGAGAUCGGAGGCAUUGGCUUAGGCCAUAUUGGUAUCUCUAUUAAUAAGUUUCGCAGCCACUCUGCUUCUUUACUACAUGAAGCCAAAGCUAUAAAUUCUACUGCCAUGGUGGAAUCUGCAAUACAUGAUUGUUUCUUUGAACCCCAAGAAAUGGCUCCUCCACCAAGAGAGAAGAUCCAGCCAGUUGUGGACUUAUGAUCUUCAUCAUAUGCUAUCCAACUAGCAUCAGUGUAUCCUUCUAAAACUGCAGGAUACCCACUGUAUCGUAUUCCAUAAUUAAUGGUACCUUUCAAAUACUUCAAUACUCUGGAAAUUGCAUUCCAAUGUAAUUGACCAGGAUUAUUAGUAUACCUGCUAAGCUUGCCUACGGCAAAAGCUAUGUCGGGUCGAGUACAAGACAUGGUAUACAUUAGACAUCCAAUUACUUUAGAGUAUUCUAACUGAUCAAUAGCUCUACCACUAUUUGGAUACAACUUUAUAUUAGGAUCAUAUGGUGUAGAAACUAAUUUUGUAUCAAAAUGAUUGAACUUUCUCAAUAUCUUUUCUAUGUAAUGUGAUUGAGUUAAUAUCAAACCAUCAUUACAUCUUUUAAUUCUUAUACCGAGGAUAACGUCAGCUUCUCCCAUGUCUUUCAUAUCAAAACUAGAAGAUAAGAAUCUCUUAGUUGAUUCUAUACUUUCUAUGUCACUUCCAAAUAAAAGCAUGUCAUCCACAUAUAAGCAAAUAAUUACACCCUUAUUAUUUUGGAACUUGCUGUAUACACACUUAUCAGAUUCAUGAAUUCUAAAUCCAUUGGAGAUUAUAACUUUGUCAAACUUCUCAUGCCAUUGUUUAGGUGCUUGUUUCAAACCAUAUAAUGAUUUAACUAACUUGCACACUUUCUGUUCUUGUCCAGGCAUGACAAACCCCUCAGGUUGAUGCAUAUAAAUCUCCUCUUCUAAUUCACCGUUUAAGAAAGCGGUUUUCACAUCCAUUUGAUGUAUAUGGAACUUAUAGAUAGAAGCUAGAGCUAUAAGCACCCUUAUGGUCGAAAUUCUAGCAACCGGAGCAUAGGUAUCAAAGUAAUCUAUGCCUUCCUUUUGUGUAAACCCUUUGGCCACUAACCUUGCUUUAAACUUAUCAAUGGUUCCAUCUACUUUCAUUUUCUUUUUGAAUAUCCACUUACAUCCUAUUGGUUUUGAACCAGGAGGUAGAUCAACCAAUUUCCAGGUCUUGUUUCCAAUGAUAGAAUCCAUUUCAUCAUCAAUAGCUUCCUUCCAAAAAGAAGCAUCUUGUGAUUUCAUUGCUUCCUCAUAUGUAAGAGGAUCAGACUCUAUACUAGGAGAAACCAUUGUUUGCCUCUUGUGUGAGUCUCUCGUACCUUCUACAAGGUACACAACAAAAUCUGGUCCAAAGGAUUUUUCUAUCCUUCUUCUUUUGCUCCUUCGAAUUUCAGUUGGUUCAUCAGACUCACUAUGGAGUCUAGUUCUCCCAGAUAACAAUGAUUCACUAUCAUUGUUUCUUGGCUGAACCUCCACCUUUUCAUUGUUAUUUCUAGAUAAAGAAGUGAACUUAUUUUCAUAGAAUUCGGCAUCUCUUGACUCUAUUACAGUAUUAACUAAUAUAGAAUCAUUUGGUUCUAUAACAAGGAAUCUAUAUCCCUUGCUAUGUUCUGCAUAUCCUAAAAAUAUGCAUUCAAUUGCCUUCUGUCCCAACUUCUUUAUCUUUGGUUUAGGUAACCUAACUAUGGCUCUACAGCCCAAACUUUGAAGUAGUUUAAGUUAGGCUUUCUUUUGAACCAUAAUUCAUAAGGUGUGACCUUUAAAGCUUUAUUAGGCACCCUAUUUAAGAUAUGACAAGCUGUAAGCAAAGCUUCUCCCCAAUAACCCUUGCUUAAAUAAGAGUUCUGAAGCAUUGCAUUUACCAUCUCCACAAGGGUCCUAUUUUUCCUUUCAGCAACUCCAUUUUGCUGUGGAGUAUAGGCUAUUGAAGUUUCAUGUACAAUACCUACUGAUUCACAAUAAGAAGGAAAAUGAUACUCUCCUCCUCUAUCCGAUCGUAGAUAUUUUAUUUUGCUGUCACAUAAAUUUUCUACUUCAUUUUUAUAAAUCUGAAAUUUAUCUAGAACUUGAUCUUUAGAGUGCAUAAGAUUGACAUAACAGAAUCUACUGAAAUCAUCUAUGAAAGUCACAAAGUAUUUCUUUCCUCCUCUAGUAGGUGUACUAUGUAAAUCACAAACAUCACUAUGAAUAAUUUCCAGCAAAGUAGAGGUGUUUUCUACCUUAUUUGGAAAAGGCUUUCUAGUUAGUUUUGUUUGUAAGCAAGUAACACAUUUAUCAUGCAUAUCAUUCACAGGCUUUGGGAUUAAACCCAGAUUUGCCAUAUUAUCUAGUCCUAAUCUAUUAUGCCAUAAAGAUAAAGAAUCAAGCAUGUAAACAGAAAUAGUAGAUACUUUAUUAAUAUUGAGUUUGAACAUUCCAUCAUACAUAUACCCUUUUCCUACAAAGGUACCACCCUUGGUCAGAAUAAACUUGUUAGAUUCCAUGACAAGCUUGAAUCCAGACUUGUUCAAAAGACUAGCAGAAACCAAAUUCUUUCUAACAUCUGGAACAUGGUAGACAUCAGUAAGAGUAAGAACUUUUCCUGAUGUGAACUCCAAUUCAAUUGUCCCUUUUCCUUUGAUAGAAGAAGUAGAAGAGUUUCCCAUGUAGAGUACGUUGUCAUCUCCACUUGGUUCAUAUGUUUUGAACAUAUCUUUGUUCUUGCAGACAUGCUUUGUAGCACCAGAGUCUAUCCACCAAGCUUCAAUAUCCUCCAUCAUAUUGAUUUCAGAAAUCAUUGCCACAUACUUUUCAUUGGUAGUUCCUUGUUUGUUCUUGAGAUGACGACAAUCUUUCUUGUAGUGACCAGGCUUGCCACAAAAGAAGCAUCCUCCUUUUGUCUUCUUUACAUUCUGACUUUGGAAACCUUUCUUGGAAAAGUUGCCCUUUCUCUUAUUAUUUCCAUGGCUGAUUUUUUGAAUGUUUAGGCCCUUCAUCAACCAUAUGAACUUUGGAAGAGAAAUCAGAAUCAUCAGUUUUCUCUCGGGAUCUGCAUUCUUCUUCUAUGCGAAGAUGGGUCCCCAACUGCUCUAUGGACAUGUCCUCUUUCUUAUGUUUGAGGCUCUUCUUGCAUUCCUUCCAAGAUGGUGGAAGUUUAUCCAUAAUUGCAGAAACAAUUAUAGAAUCAUCCAUAUGCAUUUUGAAUUGAUUAAACUGAUUGUGUAUAUGCAUAAUCUCAUGGAAUUGUUCAACAAUUGAUCUAUCAUCAGUCAUCUUAUAAUUGAAGAACUUUUGGACCAGAAAUUUCUUACUUGUAGCAUCAUGUGAGAUAUACUUAGCCUCCAAUGCGUCCCAUAUUUCCUUUGCAGUAGCCAUCUCAUGGUAGAUAUCAAAUAAGGCAUCAGACAUGGAAUUGCAUAUAUGGCCCUUGCAGACAUAAUCAUCUUGUUCCCACUUCAGUCUUUCACGUUGUGCAGCAAGGGUGUCAUCUUCUGUUUCUACAGGUUUUGGAGUAGUAAGCACGUAGACGACCUUUAAGCUUGAUAGUAGGAAAUGCAACUUCUUUUGCCAACGUCUGAAAUUUGCUCCGUCAAAGCGAUCAAGUUUCACAAAAUUUGCAGUAAACUCCUUCAAUGAUGCCAUAGCAGAUUAUAAAGUCUAAAGAUUGUUAAUGUAAUUGUGUUUGUGGUUAUGGCUGAUGAAGGAAAAACUGCUUCAAAGGCACGUUAAGUAUUUACGCUGUCCUUUAGACUUUAUUUGCCCCACAACUAGUGUGCAAAGGGGUUUGAUCAAAUAAGCCUUUAGGAUACAAUGAAGCCUAGCACUUGCUAUUGUUGUUCUUCGUUUUGCACUCACGAAGAUCAACCUUACACUCGAUUAAAGGUUUACAAGAAACUCAAGGUUGCUAGAAACUAUAUCUGCAGUUUAUAGUUUCUAGAUUUUUGCUGGUGUUAAGAAAAUAUAGAUGGAGGUUUGAGAAGAGAGAAACAGAUUUCCUGAUAUAUAGAUAUGCAGAAGAACUUAUUCCUAUAUAUAGGAAUAGUCGUGCCUUUCCAGGAUAUUGACAUACCUUUUCAUUUGUUGUUUUAAAAACUCUUCAGCAAGAGUUAUUUACAAUUGCCAACAGUCAUAUACAAUAGCAACUGAUAUGCCUUUUCAUUACAUACAUGCCUCUUGGUUGUGCAUAUACUGUUUCAGAACUCUCCUUUUAUAAUUUGAAAAUCUCUCUAACAGCAAAGAAUUUUCGAAACAGAUUACAUACAAGAGACAAUUGGUCCUAAUUAAUUAAGAGGGAACUAUAUAUAUACACGUUAUUAGAAAAGCAAGGGGAAAAAAAAACAUAGAAACUAAUGGUGAAGUAAUUAGUAUACCACUUCAGUUGUAGACCCUGUCGUGUACAGGGGAAGAUAUAGAAUUCCUUAUGGAAUCGUAUAACAAAUGCUUGGUAAUAACCAUCCAAAAUGUUAUGCAUGCAUGCAAAGCUUAUCCGAGUUGUAAGUCAAUAUUGCAUAUCUGAAAUGAGAGGUGCAUAGAAAUUAGAAGUCAACCAAUACGCCGAGAGGAAAAUACAAAAUCGUGGUGCGUAGCAAUCAGUUUCUUCACCAUAAGACAUCUUUGCAUGCAAAAGCAAAAGGUGGUAGAGGCAAACAGCACCAAUAUGCAUCAAGCUACGUACUUACACUACUGUUAUAACUUAGCAAGUUAGCAUCGACACAAUGAGACUUGACUGUUUUUAUCUUUGUUUCGCUGAAAUCUUCAUCGCCUUCCGCUAAAACCAAUUGAUGUGUUUGAUCUGUCAGCAUUAUCGAGCUUGGUAUGGUUCAGUUUCUCCAGUUCAAGAAAGUUGGACGUUGUUUUCACGUAGCAAAACCAGCACUACUAGAGCCUAGGGCUUAUAGGACAUUGUUUUCUUUGUGUAUGUUUUGCUCUAGAGGAUAUGAAUAAUGAUAUCUAAAGGUUAUUGGGUACAGGUUAUUGGGUACGGUGCAACCACCGAACGAAAAAAUGUAUCCUCUAAUGCAAGCUCCACUAACCAAAGACCACGCUUUUUUUCUUUGGUGUCUCCGCAGGGUAUCAUAGAUGACCGGCCAGUUCAAUAAGAUACUCAUGUAACCAAGAGGUUUGAGGAAUUAGUUCAACUCAUUAAUCACUAUAACUAGCUAACUACCCUUCCGUGACUCGCGAUCGCGAACACUCCCUACAAUGCUCCUCCUAGAUCAUUCCUGUCUUGGAUUCUAUCAGUUCAUGAAGGAAUGAAGGAUCAAGGAUCUAUAUGUGAGCGGUGUGAACAUAUAUUGGACUUGUGUAUGUUUUCUUUAACGGGCAGCAACUACCUUCGAGACUGCUGGCUGCUCCUACAAGAGAUAGAGCCUUGAUCUGCAGCAAUCUCCGUUAGUUCUACACCCUUCUCGGUUGUCUGCAACUGAAACAAACACCAAAUUUACAAAGUCUCUAUCGCUUAUUUCAUUCUGAGCUAGCAUCAGGACUUUACUAUUUUUCAAUUUUAUGACUUUACAUAGGUCACACUGUUGGUUUAGAUGGAUAAUACUCGAAAAUCCAUUUAUAAACUCCCAUCCCUCUAAAAUUGAGCCUUUAGAUACUGAAUUUUCCCAGAACUAAUUAACGUCAAAAGAAAGAACUGAUCACAAAACGAAAAGUUGUAUAAUACAUUCCAGACUUACUACACUCUUUUUUUUAGGGCUUUGUAACCCAGAACUUUGAGGCUUGACCCUCACUCCCAGUCUCCUACUAUCAAGAACUCAACAUAACCAAAUACAUUCUUCCUCACACCACUAGCUACAUAGGUCAAAUGAUGGGCUACAUAAUUUACAGGGAAGGUUUACUCACUGUUUAAUAAAUACAAAUAUCCCAAAUAAAUUACAAACAUUAGCAUUAAAAUACAGAAUAUCAUAGGCAUUGCUGUGUCUCAACUAUUCUCCCUGUGGAGCAGUAUGGAGAAAAAGCUGGGCACAACUUACAGAGGCAUCACUCCAAUAGUUACUGGGAAAACAUUUCUUUUAAGAUGGAAACUUGUGGAGCCAAUUCAAGUUAAUAUCUUCUUUCACUACCCUGAUAUGUAUGUUUUGGAGAAUGGGCAAGAACGGUUUCCAUAAUAUUUCAGUCUCUUCAUCACAAAUCACAUCCUCCAACUGUUCAAGAUCCAACACUGAUUCAGGCAACUCUUGCAGUCUUGAGCAUUGUCUCAUAUUUAGCGUUUCUAAGCUGCACAUUUCACCAAUGUGUUCAGGGAGCUCCUUCAUACUAUAGCAAUCAGAUAUGUCCAGAAAACUUAACAUUUUGAGGUGCCGAAUUGAGUCUGGCAGCACCGACAAGUCUGUACAAGACCUGACCCUCAACACUUCUAAGUUCACUAACUUUCCUAUUUCUUCAGGUAAGGCAGAUAGCUUGUGAGAAUUGGUGAUACUAAGCUUUUUAAGGGGAAUCAGGUCACAAAGCAUGGCAGGCAGUUCCACCAAAUCAUUGCAAUAAUCAAUGUUUAUUUCCACCACAUUUGGCAAUAGAUCUACAAGUUGGCUGGAACAGUUGCUAAAAGCUUUACUGACGUUGCACAUGAAUAAAGAUAUAUUUUCCAAAUUAUCCAACUGCACAGGGUCCUUGCUUAUGGAAGGUAUUGAGAUUCGUUCUAACCUGAUCCUCUUUAGAUUUGAUAAAGACCUAAGUAACGGAAAAUUAUUUAUCUGAGCAGGUAAAACACCAUAAUUUGUGAUUAUCAGAACCUUUAAUUUAUCCACUUUCUCCAGAAAUUCGGGUAAGGCAUAUUUCUUUGACUGAAAAUUCAGAAUUAGAACCUCUGCUUGUGGUAAUUCCAUGUUAGGCCAUGUAGCUGAGAAGUCUCCAUCUGCGAACCAUAUGUAUUGUCAAUCACUUGCAGUAGACAAUACUAUUCCUGUCUUACUGUAUGAUGUAUAUAUAUGUAAUGUUCCCAUUAACGUCUUAGUUUGUGAUGUAUAUGUACUUGUGUGCACUUGUGUGUAUUUGCAUCAGUACAUGUUUGCCAAAGAAAGAUAAAGAGGCGAGCAUUACCUGUUGAGAUAGAUACAAGGCGAGCGCUGAUGGGUUGAUACUUCUGUUUUAUCCACCAUUCGGGAAGAUUAUCUCCACAGAUAUCUAUUAUUACCCUUUUUCUUUGUUCUAUUGACCCUAGACUUGCCUGAUAGAUAGCCAAUUCUCUAAGAAUGUCAUGCUGAGUAACAAAAUGUUCAGCGUAAUAUCCAUCCACCUCCUUGUUGUCCUUCCUGUUUAGAUCAAAACCAAUUUACUUAUGAGAUUUCUUAAGCAUAUGAAUUGCAAUAUAAAAUUAUGACUAGGAACUAACCAUGGAUAUACAGAAACAACAAUCAAACAAGAGAAACGUAAAAUGGUAAAACCCCAUAUACCUUGUGACUACAAGAGUGGCCAAACUCCUAUUGUUGAGUUCCUCAACGUUUCCAAUGCAAAGCAUGUCUUCCUCUAUCUUAUAUAACACCGACCAUAUAUCAAUGAGGAUAGUAGCAGAUAUUCUUUGGUCCUCAGGAAAUGAACCAAGAUCCAUGAAACAUUCCUUGAUGACACUAUUUUCUUUCUCCAAGGCAUCUAAGCUGCUUUGGAGACAAGCAAGCAAAUGAUGAUCAGAAUCAAGAAUGGAUGAACCUUUAGUCCAUUCAAUUACUCUUUUUUGCCAGAUCUCCAAAGGCUGCCCACAAAGUGAUCUUCCAAUCACUGUAAUGGCAAGUGGAAAUCCCUUACAAUGUUCUACUAUCUGCAUAUGAAGUUUCUUAAUUAAUUUACUAUUUCAGCUAGACCCAGAGUCAAACAGUUCUUGAAAUGAUCUCAAUGGUUCUUCAAAAAAAAAUAAAAAUAAAUAAAUCACCUAAAUGGUGUCAGGUAUAUGAGGAAAUGAAUCAGAACUAUAUAUGUCUCUAUAUAUAAGCAUGCAUGAAAGUCGACAUUCAUGCUCAUUAGCAGGUUGUCAUAGUAAAUGAAAGUGUUAACUUGUUUUUUCAACAUGUGCAUAUAUGCAAAACCAAAAGUUGACAAAUCUCUUUGCCCUUUUCUCAUUAAUAGGCACACAAUUCUGCAAUGCUGACUAAGAAAUUCACCUUUCUUGAAAGGUCUUCUGGAACAUGAGAGCUCCUAUCUCCCAAUGAUGCUGAAUGAUAAAAAAGUGCUGUUGCAUCUUUUUCAUUCAAGGACUCUAAAUAAUAUGGAGGACAAAAUCUUGGAAAUACAAAUCUAGAUGUCCCCAGAAUCUUGUGAUUUGCAAUUUUCAAUUCAUCAAGCUUCUCAAGAAGGGAUUCGGAUUCAGACCAAAUAUCAUCCAAAACCAACAGCAAAGGAUCUGUUUGCUUUACGAAUUCUUGCAGCCAGUCGACUGCACUUACGUCAGUUUGGAAAUCCGGUACCUGGGAACCCUUGCGUUGACAAAGCUCUUGUACAAUAAGGUUUAAGUUGGGCUUCUUUGAUACCGUUACAAAGAAGAUAUUGUUCUUGAACUUGUCUUUCAAAACAAAAUGCUAGAUGUUAGAAUCACUUAAUCUUUUCAAACAAUGCCCCCAAAAAAAAAAAAAUUGGGAAAACAGUGAAGCACAUAAAAUCAUCAUAACUUAUUUGGAGCCCUAACAUAUUUCAACAGAAAUAAAUAAGUGAGAGUGAGGCUAUCUUGUUUACGGAUCGUAUCCUAGUCAUGAUGUAAUAAUAACUGCUUGGCUACCCUUUCAAGUUUCAAAGUAAUAGUUCUAUGAAUCAGUUGUGGCAAACAUAUUCCCAAAAGGCUACAACUGUUGAAAAUAAUUCAAUGGAAAGACAAAAUAACCAGAUAUCACAGUGAAGGCUUUCCACAGAAAUAUUGCACAAUUAGACCUGGGUCUGUUUGAAACAAUCAUCAUCUAGCCAUUUUAAAUUAAAGCAAGACACAUAUUUUCAAAAUUAAAGAUAAAACAACAGCGUGAUUAGAUUUGGCUAUGGCCAAUGUUAACUCUCAUAAAACAACUUUGAAAUGUUGGUAUUUUUGGCAUACUAAAAAUACAAAAACAAAUUACGUUGAAGUUUGAUAACACCAUUACUAGUAUACUCCCACCAUAGCAUUUUAAAAUCUGAGGUAAAAGCUUAUUACUUGCAAGCAAUUAGAAAUGUUUAUAUCAUGUACAAUACCUCGCACUUCUGCAUCUUGACAAAACUUAGUUGCCAAUGUAGUUUUCCCGCAUCCUCCUGGAGCAGUGAGCACAAGCAUUGAUAACCCAUCCUUAAGAAGCAUUAGCUUCAAUUCUUUCAAAGGCCCCUCCAGUCCAACUGUAAGAGGUGGUAAUUCAGGUACUGCCGACCAAGCUUCAAUUUUUUUAGAUGGAAUAUUUUGUACCACAAAUUUCUCAUCAAUCUGCUGGAACCUAGUCUCAAUAUUCUUUACUGUAGCCAGUGUUUUCUUCGCAUCUCUGAUGCCAAGCACUUUCAGUAUAUCCAUCAGCCUUUGUAGAGAUUUAUCCAAUUCAACAAGUUCAUUUGCGUAUUUGUGUCUCUUGUAUGCAUUCCACGCAUGAACUUUGGAGCACUUGUGAAUCAGCUGAAUUCCCUCCUUCAUUUGUAUUGUAAACUUCUGUAGUUCCUCCUCUUGCCGAUCCAAUUCCUUUCCGUACUCUGGUAUCACUUCAAUCAGUGGUUCUAAACAGUCUAGAGCUGAUUUGAUAUCUACAAGCUGGGAUUUAAACAUUGAAUUCUUCUCAAUCACUUCACUGACAACAUUGAAUAAUGCUUGGAAAACUGCUUGUCCAUCAAACGCCACUGCCAUGACUGCUACAGCAAACAGCAAAUGUGAGGACUCUUAUUUGUUAAUGAAAUGGUAAAGGAAAAACAAGAUAAAAAUCAGUAACAACAUACUUUGUUUUAGAUGACAACAAUCAUAUGAGAUAGAUAUCCAAAUGAAUGCUUCCGAGAUAAAAUAUAAAAAAGAAAAACAACCUACGCUCCUUCAGUGAAAUGGAUAGAAUAUGUUGCUGGUGUAUUUAUAGAUGAACAAUUCAUCAACAAGCAUUAAAUUACACUAUCGAAUAAGUCUUAUCUUCUCAACUGUCCAUUCAUUUUUUUUUUGGUCCAUUCAUGUGACUAAUGAAAUUGAUAGAGCGAACACUAGGAAAUUUCAACACAGCUUCCAAAAGGACUUGAUGAAUCACAAACCACUAUAAAUUUGCAUGUAGCCUUUGUUGUUUAUCCUAAAAUAGGGGUCUGCAAAACAGAAACGUCAUUUCCUUAAAAGAUCGACGUAUGCGUAGGAUUGAGCGUAUUGAAAGGUAGUGGUUGAAGAACGGAACUUUACUUCACGUGACAGCAAAGAACUCAUAUUUUUUACGAAUUUUCACAUGAAACAACCAAGAAAAGAAUCAAGGAAUACACAAAAGUGCCAACGCCCCAAUUCAGACGCAAUCGCGAAAGAUUAGUGAUAAUACCAAACUAAUUCGUGAGUGCAAUAAACAGCAAACUUAAUCGACAAAUACGCAAAACAUCAGCAGCAAAAGCAAAAGUAGAUUCGAGAUAGCUGAGAUCUGGUAGCAUGAACCAGGUUCGGUGGGAACACCGGAACACAGCAGAGUGAAUAAUCAGAGAAAUUAACCGAGAAAGAAAGGUAACACGUACCGUUUCGUGCCGUAAAAACCAGUUUGAGGGGGUGAGAUUUAAACCAGGAGGGCAAAAUGGAGGGGAAGACUGUUGCUUCGGCUUUCACUGCUAAAAAUCUCUUCACCCCAUAGUUAGGUAUUGAAAGGACACGACCCAGGACCUGACUUUUAAAUUAAUUAGAAAAUGACCAAAAUCUCCAAAUUGUUGGGAAAAUUACGGUAUCAGACCAAAAAAAAAAAAUAGCACCCAUUAGGUAAUUACCCGCGGGUAAUGUACCCACCCAUCUCUAAAAUAGGUAAAUACCCAUUGGGUAGAUAUCCGGUUUAAUUUUUGCACAUAUUUCAUNNNNNNNNNNNNNNNNNNNNNNNNNNNNNNNNNNNNNNNNNNNNNNNNNNNNNNNNNNNNNNNNNNNNNNNNNNNNNNNNNNNNNNNNNNNNNNNNNNNNNNNNNNNNNNNNNNNNNNNNNNNNNNNNNNNNNNNNNNNNNNNNNNNNNNNNNNNNNNNNNNNNNNNNNNNNNNNNNNNNNNNNNNNNNNNNNNNNNNNNNNNNNNNNNNNNNNNNNNNNNNNNNNNNNNNNNNNNNNNNNNNNNNNNNNNNNNNNNNNNNNNNNNNNNNNNNNNNNNNNNNNNNNNNNNNNNNNNNNNNNNNNNNNNNNNNNNNNNNNNNNNNNNNNNNNNNNNNNNNNNNNNNNNNNNNNNNNNNNNNNNNNNNNNNNNNNNNNNNNNNNNNNNNNNNNNNNNNNNNNNNNNNNNNNNNNNNNNNNNNNNNNNNNNNNNNNNNNNNNNNNNNNNNNNNNNNNNNNNNNNNNNNNNNNNNNNNNNNNNNNNNNNNNNNNNNNNNNNNNNNNNNNNNNNNNNNNNNNNNNNNNNNNNNNNNNNNNNNNNNNNNNNNNNNNNNNNNNNNNNNNNNNNNNNNNNNNNNNNNNNNNNNNNNNNNNNNNNNNNNNNNNNNNNNNNNNNNNNNNNNNNNNNNNNNNNNNNNNNNNNNNNNNNNNNNNNNNNNNNNNNNNNNNNNNNNNNNNNNNNNNNNNNNNNNNNNNNNNNNNNNNNNNNNNNNNNNNNNNNNNNNNNNNNNNNNNNNNNNNNNNNNNNNNNNNNNNNNNNNNNNNNNNNNNNNNNNNNNNNNNNNNNNNNNNNNNNNNNNNNNNNNNNNNNNNNNNNNNNNNNNNNNNNNNNNNNNNNNNNNNNNNNNNNNNNNNNNNNNNNNNNNNNNNNNNNNNNNNNNNNNNNNNNNNNNNNNNNNNNNNNNNNNNNNNNNNNNNNNNNNNNNNNNNNNNNNNNNNNNNNNNNNNNNNNNNNNNNNNNNNNNNNNNNNNNNNNNNNNNNNNNNNNNNNNNNNNNNNNUCUGAGAUCAAGCCGGGGAGAAGAAACGGCGUCGUCAGUGCUGGAAUGGUGAGAAACGGCGAAACCGUACGGACGUCCGCACCUAAUAAUCCUUGUGUGUGUAUAUAUAUAUAUAUAUAACUACAUGCAUGACUAAUCUUAUUAGCAGCCAUAAUAUCGACAUGGAAAAACAUAUAUAGAAAGGCAUCUGCUAGAUCAGAUGCUUAUGCAGGGAACGAGGAGGCAAGCCCUCCCAUCUUUCGCAUAUCUUGCUCAUCCGACAUGGCAUGAAUCACCGAACCUGCACUCAGGAAUAGUAAUGCUUUGAAAAACGCAUGAUUCAUUAAGUGAAAGACGCUAACCGAAUAGUUAGAGAUGCCGCAUGUAUAUAUAGUUGAGCUUCAAUUUGUUUUGAAAUUUCAAGACAUGAAGUUUGUUUGCCCAACGACUCACGGAGACAUUGAGGCCUUUCACAUGAGAGAAGAAUUGUUAUGUAAAUGAAUAUAAAGUUGAGUCAUUGAAACCUGAUACUAUGUUUAUGUACUAGAACUCUGCUGCUACUAUUUUUACUGGAAAUAGUUGCUACUACAUUAGUUGAACCACUAAAUACCUGAUACUGUAUUUUUUUAAAAUUGUUACUACUACACUAGCUGAGUCACUAAAAGUCUGCUACUACCCUACUGGUAAUACCUUGUUACUGCAUUUCUGGAAAUAGUUGAUACUAGUUAAGGCACUAAAAAUAUGCUACUGCGUUUUUUUGAAAUAGAUGCUACGUACUACACUAGCUGAGUCACUAAAAGUCUGCUACUACAUUUAUUGGAAAUAGCUUUGCUACUAUAUUUGGAUGUAGUUGUUACUAUACUAACUGAGCCACUGAAAACCUGCUACUAUAUUUAUUGGAAAUAGCUGUUACUGCAUUUAUUGGAAAAUAGCUGCUACUACACUAGUUGAGCUAUUAAAAACCUGCUAAUACAUUUGCUGGAAAUCUAAAUAAUAAUAUGUAGGUUAUUCAUGUGUGAAAGUUAUAAUUGUAAAUGAAUUGUUGACACAUGGCAACAUAAAAACGGUUUGUCCUUAUUUAUAAGAUUUUGUCCUUAGAAGUUAUAAAACAUAAGUCAUGUCGUUAUUUGUGUAUUUAGAAGUUGUAAAACAGAAAUCAUGUCCUUAUUUGUGUAUUGAAUAUUUUUCAAGGACGUAUAUGUAGUUUGCUAAAAAAAUAAUAUUUCACACCUUACAAUUGAUUAAAAUGAGACUUGUAUCAUUAGCCAUCCGCAUUUUUUUUCCCCUUAAAUUAGUCUUACAUUUUGAGUUGGAAAUCAUUCACAAAUAUAGAGCAAAAUGGAGCAAAACUCGAUUAAAAAAUUAGAAUUUAUCUUAGGAAUUUCUUCAACGUGGGAUACUGGGAUUCAUUGAACAAAUUGCUCGUCACCUCGACGAGGCAGCUCAGUUGGUUAGAACAAACUGCCUAACAUAUAAAUGAUGAAGAAGUCAUGACAGGUAAUUGGGGAUUGCAAGAGAAAAUGCAGGCUUGCUCGAUGGGAAGAUGUUGAUCGAGUAAGGCGAAACUAUCAACAUGUCAUAUUUCCCGCCACGUAGGUAUCAUGAGCUCUCCCUACUUAGAUAUAGUUUUCUGACUCUUCUCAUUUCGUAAGAUGAAAAUGAAAUUAUAGAGGAGUAAACAAUGAGUACACAUAAGCAAUUACGUCUGAGAUUCACUUGCAGGUUAGAGCAGGCACAUAGAUUUGGACAAAAACAGUUCGAUCUUCAAAUUGAUAAGAUCACACGCCUAGAGAUGCACUUACAUGAUUAACAUCAUAGGCUCGGAUCGGGUUGGAGUUCCUGAUCUGGUUUAGGUGCUUCAGAAUCAUGGUAGGGAUGCGAUGGGCUUCUCGUCGGCGGGUUGGCAAUGGCGUGGAGCCUGCGGCAGUUCGGGUCUUCCAGUCCAUGGAAGCGUGGUGGCUGUUAGGGUUUGAGUGCUUGGGCUCAGGCUUUGUUAGGUUUUGGGCCGCUUGUUGGGCCGGCCUGGGCUCUAUGUUCAACUUAUGUUUUUACUUUUUAGUUAAGCGUUUGUUUGUUUUUACAAUAAGAUUUCACCUUAAGGUGGAUGGAUUAGGGCUCUUUGAGCUUGUAGCGGAGUUUAUGUCCUUCUUGACCGGACAUAAUAUUGGUUAUAUGCUUUAGCCAGAUAGAAUGAAAAUUAUGUUCCCGUAAAAAAAAAAAAAGAAAAAAAAAAGAGGAAGACGAUGCAAGAAAUGAGAGGGAAAAGAGCAACAGUGUCCAUGAAUGAUUACAUUAUUGUAUUGAUUCUGAAAAUUACAACAUUGUAUAGGUAUUAUUCAAUCCAGAAAGAUAUAUGAUGUUUUCUGCAAAAGCAGAAGAGUGAAUCCAAAAAGCAGAAGGAAAUGAGGGGACAAAGAACCGUACACAGGCAGCUCUCAAAACUGAUAUUUGUGGAGCCAGUUUAGGUUGACAUUAUCUUUGGCCAACUGUAUGUUUGUGCCUUUGAUAGGUAAGAAGGGUUGCCAUAAACUUUUUGUAUCAUCAUCACCUAUCACUUGUAAAUGCUCCAGACUUGGAACUGAUAGAGGCAGCUCUGUCAGUCUUGAGCAGUCUCUCAUGUUAAGCUUUCUUAAGCUGCUCAGUUCUCCGAAAUUUUCAGGCAACUCCUUAAUGCUGAAGCAGUAAGAUAUAUCAAGGAAGUUUAGCUUUUUCAGGUUCCCAGUUGAACCUGGCAAUUCCUCUAAGCCUGAACAAGACCUUAGCCUCAAUAGUUCCAAUUUGGCCAGCUUUCCAAUAUCUUCAGGCAAGGCAAUUAGCUUAUGAUUGUUGGUGAUGCUGAGCUUCUUUAGAAGAAUUAAGUCACUGGUGUCAGCAGGCAAUGCCACCAAGUCAUUGCAAUAGUCAAUGUUCAUUUCCACUAGAUUUGGCCAUGCAUGUGAAAGUUGGAUUGAUCCGUCGCUGAAAGCUUGACCGAUAUUACACAUGAACAAAGAAAUCUUCUGUAGACUACUGAAUUGAAUGGGGUGCUUGGCUAUGGAUGGAAUUGAGAUGCGUUCUAAUCUCAUUCUCUUCAGAUUUGAUGAAGUACAGAGUAACUGGAAGUUUGUUACUUCUGAAGGUACAAUACCAUAACUUGUGAGUAUCAAUACUUUCAACUUCACCAUUUUCUCCACAAAUGGGGGUAAUGCAUAGUUCUUGGUCUGAAAAUUCAAGACUAGAACCUCAGCUUCUGGUAGUUCCAUGUCAGGCCAGUUUGUUGAAAAUGCUCCAUCUGCAAACAACAUGCUAUGUUAUGUGAGUAUGUGGAACAAUAAAAUGUCAGUCACUACUUCAAAAUCUGCUGAAGAGAGAAAGAUGGACUACCAGUUGAGAUAGAUAACAGGCGAGCCUUCAUGCAUUGAUACUUCUGUUCCCUCCACCACUUGGGAAAAUUGUCUUUGGAUAUGUUUAUGAUCAGUCUUUCUCUCUGUUCGGUGUCCUCUAGUGUUGACUCAUAGAUAGCCAGCUCUCGAAGCAGAUCAUGCUGGGUAACAAAAUGCUCAGUGUAGUAUCCAUCCCCCUGCAGCUUGUCCUUUCUGUUUUCACCGAGUUACUUAGAAGCGAUUCUUAAGAAUAUAAUGUAACAUAAUUACAAAUUAUGAAUAACAAUUUACCAUAGGGAAAAAUUAGAGAGAAAAAAAUCAUUAAAGACAAACAUGAAAGCCCAUAUAUACCUUGUGACUACAAGAGUAGCCAGACUUCGGUUGGUGAUCUGGUGGAGGUUUGCAACACAUAAAAUGUCUUCAUCCAGUGAAUCAUAAGACUCCGUCCAGAUAUCAAUGAGGGCAGCAACAGGAAUUCUUUUAUCUUCUGGAAAUGACCCUAGGUCUAAGAAACAUUCUCUGACCAUAAUCAUUUCCUUGUUCGAGACAUCUAAACUGGUUUGGAGGCGAAGAAGCAAUUGAAUCUCGGAAUCGAGAAUCGAAGAACCUUUGGACCAUUCAACAAGUCUUUUCUCCCAAUCCUCUAUAGGCCGUCCGCAAAGUGAUUUUGCGGCCACUGUUAUAGCAAGUGGAAAUCCCUUGCAGCCCUCUACUACCUGCAAUUGAAUAUAUUCUCCAAGAUGAAGUACAAUGUACUAUUCGAGUUGCAGACUCAAUAUUCAAGUUCCUUCAAGUCAUAUCCAUUACAAUUUGUGGUUUAAAAACAGAUUAAACAACUAUCAAGCAUUCUUAAUUUCGGUUGACUCUGGUCUAUUAUCAUUUGUGAUUAGCAAAGGAAGCUUCGAUCAAUGCAUGCAUGAUUGAUAUGGUAAAGAUAUAUGUGUCCGUUCUUGCGUGUGUGUGUGUAAAUGUAAGUAUGAAUGUAUGUACAUAUUUAAUUAGAAACAUACGUUGUAAACUGCAAACAAAAAAUCACCUUUCUUAUAAUAUCUUGUGGAAUAUCCAAAGUCUUUUCUCCCAAGGAUGCUUCAUGAUGAAAGAGUGUCAUUGCAUUGUCAAAAUCCAAUGACUGCAAAUGAUAUGGAGAGCCACAUCCUGGAAAUUCAGAUCUUGAUGUCACUAAAACCUUGUAAUUAGGCAUUUUGAAGUCGAACUUGUGAAGUAAGUAUUCUGAUCCAGACCAAACAUCAUCCAGGACUACUAGUAAAGGGUCUUGUCCUUGUUCCUUCACAAACGUCUGCAGCCACUUUACUGCAUUUUCGUCGUCUUUAAAAGUAGGUACCUGCAGGUUACCCUUGCUUUUGUAUAGCUCUUGUACAAUAAGGCAGAAGUUUGGCGUUUUGGAAACAGUGACAAAGAAGAUAUUGUUCUUGAAUUUCUCUGUCCAAAAGACAUUAUGCAAUCUGUUAGCCUUUCUGAGAUAUCCGAGUACUCAUAUCCAUAGAGUAAACUAAUUAAGCAAUUUGGUAACAAGAAAUAGACAACCAUGGAGUUAUAACAAAUUCAUGCUUAGUUAGUCUACCUAAUAACCAGAGCAAAUGUAUUUCAACUAGUUUAUAACCAUCAUGAAAAUCAGAAAUAAAAUAGGAAUAAGAAUUACCUUGGACUUUCUUGUCUCGACAGAACUUCGUUGCCAAAGUGGUUUUUCCACACCCUCCAGGAGCGGUCAGCACAACCAUUGACACUUCAUCGUUGAACAUCAUCAUCUUCAGUUCAUUCAGAGGCCCAUCCAAUCCAACUGUAAGAGUUGGAAGGUCAGGUACUUCACCCCAAGCUUCAAUUUCAGCUUCCUUUUGUGGCUGCUUCAUCGCAGCCUCUAUAUUCAAAGUAAUCGCUUCCACCCGGUUCACCGCAAUCUUUAAAUCUUCAUUGUUGAUCUGAAGAUCCUCCACUCCCUCCUUUAUAGUGACAUUGCUCGAUUCGAUUUGGUUAACUGUCUUCUCUGUUCCCUUCACCGUUUUCAAGGUCUCCAACCCAUUUCUCAGUGCAAAAACGUUGAGUAUCUCAUACUGUUCUUUAAGACUGUCAUUCCAGCCAAUAAGUUUCCUGGAGUACUUGUACGUCUUGUCCACCCUCCACGCACGAACCUUGCGGCACUUGUCAACGAGCACUUUGCCCUCGUCGAGUUGGGUUUUCAGGCCAGCCAUUUCUUCCUUCGGCCGAUCCAGAUCAUCGUUGAGUUUUGCAAUCUCUUGAGUCACGUUCUCCAGGGAUUUGAGUGUGGAUUUGACGCUUUUGAGGACAUGCUUGAACAGCAAAUACUUGAUGGUCAGCUCCUUGAGGGCUUCAUAGAGCACACUGAACAGUAAUCCUCCACCAGCCCCGGCGAAAACAUCUACUGGAUUGGCCAUUUCUUAUAGUAAAGUCGAAACUGAACCCUGAAUCAGUGGACAAUUCAAUUGUAUAUAGGGUGAUCAGAAAAUAAGGGGACACUCUGGGAUUUGGAAACCAAUAGAACCCAUCGAGGAACCACUGAUCAGGAUUCAGGAAGAAACUGAAAAGCAAAAAAGCAAUAAGAAAACCAGUUUGCUCUUAAAGUUUGGUGUUUGACCAGAUGAAACCUAAGAAUCAAUGAGGAAGAGACUUGAAGCAAAAAACUAGCAGAGAACCCCAGUUGUCUCGAUCUUACAGUUGGUGACUGUGUAAGACAAGACAAGACGAAGAAGAGUAUAUAAAAGCUGAAUGGAAAUUUCUGUGUGUUGCGAGCUCGAUCAAUGACUUAUUCUGUCAUUGACUUGCUAACUUUACUAGGAAGAGCAUUUCACUCGUUCCAGGCAACUUACCAGCAAGCACCAAGUCAAUGGUCUCUUCUUUCUCAGUUUCCAUUUCUUUUCUAAGAAGUAAUUCACGCGUAAAAUCACUUGGAAACAUACGCUCUCGAUCAACUCCUCAAGCCAAGCUUGCUAAGAGAAGUUUCUAAAACCAGAUACUGUUUCAUGGUAGGGGAACUGAUCCACCUGUCUGUAGAAUUUCUCGAUCAACUCCUCAAGCCAAGCUUGCUAGCUAACAGAACUCUCGGAUAUGUGGCAGAUGCCCUUGUUAAUUUUUGGACUCUUUGUCACAUGAUUUGACUUGGUGGGAUGUGAAAAUUGUCUUUUUUUAUUUUCUUGGUUGUGUUAUCACACUGACAUUAAAUUAUUUUCUUAUUGUGACCAACCUUUUUGUGCUUCCUGUUAUUGGUUUUUCUAGAUCUAGUUAUUCUAAUUUUUUUUCUUUCUCAAAUGUGUGUAUUUUCAUAAGAACAACCGUACUACCAAUUACUACAUUAAGGAUCAAUGAGGUGCACUAUAUAUAUUGUUUGCCUCCUCUUUCUACCUUAACGGAUUGACACCCUUAAGAACACUCGCAAAAACACCACAAUCACACAAUAUUACUGAUGUUAAUAGUUAAUUAAAGCAAUUCUACAAACUGAUGUGAUCACAUGAAGAUAAAUAGAUCUUAGAGUAGUUAAUUAAAGCAAUUCUACAAACUGAUGUGAUCACAUGAAGAUAAAUAGAUCUUAGAGAACAACUAGUAGUUUUGAACUGAACUGCCGAGAUUCAAUUUAGUUUACAAAUUACAACUGGUAACUGAGGUCAUGAAAUGUCUCAAAGAAACUUCCGUCUAAAAUUUACAUUAUAUACAUUUUUUGCUAUGCAAUAUCUCAUGAUAUUUACAAAAGCAGGAAAACAACAAAUCCAAAAGGAAGAAGGGAAUGAGGGGCAAAAAACCACAAGACACAGAAGCAUACAUCCAGAUCCCCAAAAUUGGUUAGGAAAAGACAGCUCUCAGAAGUGAGGCUUAUGGAGCCAAUUUAGGUUGAUAUUUUCUUUUUCCACCACUAUUCUUGUGUUUUCCAGAGGCAAGAAAGGCUCCCAUAAGUUUCUUGUCUCAAAAUCGAUACAGGUACUUCUUGCAAUCUCGAGCAUUCUCUCAUGUUGAGCUUUUUUAAGCUGCUCAUUUCACCAAUAUCUUCAGGCAAUUCCUUGAUGCUAAAGCAAUAAGAAACGUCAAGAAAGGUCAACUUCUUUAGGUUACUGCUAGAGCCUGGCAACUGUUCCAAGUCUGUACAUGACCUUAGUCUCAGCAGUUCCAAAUUUUCCAGUUUCCCUACUCUUCAGGUAAGGCAAGAAGCUUAUGUGAUCAGUUGGUGACACUGAGCUUCCUUAGAUGAAUAAGAAUAUAAGCUCACAUAGGUCAGCAGGCAUUUCCACCAAAUCAUUGUGUAAUACCCCGGAAAUUUGAUAUUAGUUUCUAAUUUUAUUUAGGAAUUUUUGAGUUAGAAGUUAGUGUGUUUUGAAGUUCGAAGGAAGAGCGGAAGGGUUCGGAUGCGUAAAUUGCUUGAACCGGUUUUAUGGUUCUGAAGGGUCAAGAGUUGACUUUCUAAUCUGUUGGGUUUCUCGAGAAACUUCCUUCACGAAAGUUGUAGAGCACGACGAUACGAGUUCGUAGACACGUGGCACGCGUAAAACGGACUUCGUAUGAGAAAGUUAUGGUCAGCAGAAGUUGUGGCUUUACGGGAAUUUUGGGUUAAAUAGGAAAGUUUUCAGUUUGGGUCCUCAUAAUUUUCAGAACCAGAUUUUUCUUCCCCUUUCUUCUCUCUCCCCGACCCCGAGAGAACCCAGGUUUCCCAGCCGACCCGACCCGGACCCGGUGACCCGACCCGGCUUUUCCGGCCACCUCCGGCCGACCCAGACGACGGCACCGGUCGGGUUCUCUUCCUCUCCUCCGUCCGAGCUGACCUGUGGUGGUGUUGUGCGCCGUUUCGGUCCCGAGUUGGUGACCCGAAGCUCGGAAGCUCGGGUUAGAGACCCGGUCGGUUUCCUUCCUUCGGCGGCGGCGACAAGGCGGGAGACCGGUCGAGAUAGAAGGCCCUUGGCAUCCUGGUUCGACUUCUGGUGGCCUUGGAGCGCGACUCACGGCGGAGAGCGGCGGUGGUGGAUUCUAAGCAUUCCCGGCGAGUUUCCGGCAUGUUUCCGGCCGAUUGGGGUGAAACCUCAGGUAUAAAAGAUGCUCCCCUCUCUUUAAUCUUCAAGUUUUGUGUUGGGAGUUUGUCCUAUUUCGGACGUUUCGUGGUGGCGCGUGGGGCCCACUCGCCGCCGCCUGUGGUGGCGCGUGGCGGCGCGUCCGGUAGUGUCUGGGGUGUUUUGUGGUGCUGGUUAGAUAGUACUCUUCGUUAUGAACGUGUUGGUAUGUGGGUUGUAGGUUUUGGUUACCAUUAUUGCAUGCUAGGGUUUCCACUUGGUGCUAGGUUCCGUUCGGUUCAGUUUUGGGUAAAUCCGAACAUGAGAUUUUGGUUUGUGGUUUUAUAGGUUGUGUAGGAUGUUCAGGCGACCUUUUGAGGUAUAGGGAGAGGUUUUGUCUCGAGUGACAAGUUUGUGGGUUAGGACUUGAGUUUUGGUUCGAGUCGGUUUAUGUUGCUUUCUUAGUUACUAAGGUUAACGUUUUGUUAAUAGGUGACUGGUGGUGUGGUUUUGUGUGAUAUGCUUGAGUUGUGCGUGCGAAGACGCAGCUGGAUUUGAGGUGAGUAACAUCUCACUAAGGUCCACUUUCGGACCAAUUAUUAUAAUUAUGAUGAUGAUGAUGAUGAUGAUUUUUAUGAAGAUGAUUAUGAUGAUGAUUGUGAUGUUGUUUGUGAUGAGGAUGAUGAUGAUGAUUUAAUGUUAUGCUUUUUAGAUAAGUGUGAUGAUGAUGAUGAUGAUGAUGAUGAUUUUUAUGAGGAUGAUUGUGAUGAUGAUGAUGUUGUUGAUGAUGAGGUUGAAUUAAAGAAUUGGUUAUUGUUUGUUUUAAAAAUAUAUGAGCUUGAUCACCAACGGUUCAUAGGUAAGUUAAAACGAGUUAGAUAGUCAAACCGGGUUCCAAGCCUUUAAUCGGGUGAUUGGUUGCGGUUAUGAUGAUUCUACUCUUUUUGUGAAUUGUUGUGUAGAUAGUCAAACUGGGUUCCAAGCCUUUAAUCGGGUGAUUGGUUACAGUUAUGACGCUAUUAUUAUUUUGUGUUGUGAUAUUGGACAGUCAAACCGGGUUCCAAGCCUUUGGCCGGGUGAUUGGUUACGGUUAGGAAUAGAGCUCUAGUCCGUCUGUCAGUGUAGGUCAUGGGAGGUACCUGAAGGUAUCUGGGACCCAUGGGUACAUAAUUUGUGUUGUAGGUCAUGAGAGGUAUUUAUUAAUAUCUGGGACUCAUGGGUACAUGUGUUUGUAAGAGUAUUAGUUAUGUGGUGUUUAACCUUGUUCUUAAUUGUUGUCGAUGAAAUUCUUUGUUUUGAGUCUCUCCUGAACUAUGCUUAAUGCAGGAGAUUCUCCAAUUUAAAUGUGUGACUUUGAGUGGAAUUCCUGAACUAUCAUUUUUGCAGGAUCCACUUAUGAUUUGAUUGUUUUGGAAAUUGUUGUGUGUUUGUUCUUGUUUUACUCUUUUGAAUUUUAUUGUUUUGAGGUGAUUCCUGAACUAAGUUCUAAAGCAGGAAUUACCAGUUUUAUCUUGUGUGGUGUUAGAGAUGUUGAGUAAAUUUUGAGAAUUACUCAUACGAGCUUUUUAGCUUACCGGGUUUGUUGUUUACAACCCGGUGCACCAUUUCUAUGGUGUAGGGGUUAGACUUGCAGGUGUUGAUCAACAUGGUUGAGGCAGAGGCAUAGUGGCUGGGGUUCAGAGGAUGUACUUUUUAUUUGUAUAUUAUGUAAGUUGUUUUUAAGCUCGUGUGAGCAUCUUCAUUUUACUAGACUUUUGAAGUUGAUGUAUUUAUGGAGAUGUAAUGUUUAACUCGGUUGUUGAGUUUAGUUACAUUUACAUUCCUGUAUGUGUUGAGCAGGUUUGGGAUAUUAAGAGUUCUAAGUUAUAUCAUGCCCAAAUUUUUGAAAAUUUAUCCUUCGAAAAUUGGGGUGUGACACAUUGCAAUAGUCAAUGGUAAUUUCCUCUAGAUUUGGAAAUGCACAUGAAAACUGGAUGGAACUGUCGCUGAAAGCUUUUCCAAUGGUACACAUGAAUAGAGAUAUCUUCUUCAGACACACAAAUUGUACGGGGUUCUUUGUUAUUGAAGAUAUUGAGACACGCUCCAAUCUAAUUCUCUCUAGGUGAGAUUUCGAAUCCAGUAGUGCAGUAUUACUUAGCUCAGCAGGUGAGAAACCAUCAUUUGUGACAACAAUUAAGGACCUUCAAUUUAUGCAUAGUGUCCACAAAUUUGGGUAAGGCAUAAUACUUCGUCUUAAAAUUUAAGACUAGAACCUCGGCUUCUGGUAGUUCCAUGUGGUGCCAUUUUGAUGAGAAAUUUCCAUCUGCAAGCAAAAAAAAAUCAUUUCGUGUGAGCAUGGACUACAUAGUGAACGUACUAUUCAAGUCUUGGUCUGUGUCUUAGUAAGAACAUAUGCAUACCUAUUCGUCUAUGCAUUUCUACGUAAAUUAUUAUUGAGAGAGAUGGGUUUACCAGUUGAGAUGGAUAAUAUGCGAGUUUUCAUGGAUUUGUACUUAUCUUCCAUCCACCAUUUCGGAAGAUUGUUUCCAAUUAUGUUUAUAAUCAGUCUUUCUCUAUCUCCUGGGGCUUGUUGUCUUGUCUCAUAGAUAGCCAACUCUCGAAGAAGAUCACGCUAAGUAACAAAAUGUUCACUGUAGUAUCCAUCCCCCUGCGUCAGGUCCUUCCUGUUUUUUUAGUCAAAACUAAGUUGAUUAGAAGCAGAGGUUUCUAAAAAUAUAUUGUACUAAUUAAAGUAGCAAGUAAUGAUGAGUAGCAUCUGGUCAUUAAUAUAAAGGAAAAACCUAUGGAGCUAGCAUACCGUGUGACUACAAGAUUAGCCAGACUUCGGUUGGUGAGCCUCUGGAGGUAUGCAACACAGCGUAUCUUCAUCUAGCUGCUCAUGUAACUCUGUCCACAUAUCAAUGAGGGCAGUAACUGGGAUUCUUUGGUCUUCAGGAAAUGAACCAAGGUCUAGGAAACACUCCCUGAUGAUAGCCAUUUCUUUAUCUGAGACAACUAUGCUGCUUUGGAGGCGAAGAAGCAAGUCGGUCUCAGAGUCAAGAAUUGAAGACCCUUUGGACCAUUCAAUUAGUCUUUGUUUCCAGAUCUCUAUACUUUGUCCGCGAAGUGAUAUCCUCCUGCCACCGUGAUCGCAAGUGUAUAUCUGAUGGUUAAUUAAGCUUUAUUGGUUAAUUAAGCAGGGAUGUAAAUCAGCAUCAUCCCACCAUCACGUGCCACCCCAUUUUCCCUCACUCUUGACCAAUUGCUAGCUGCCUUGUGGUACCUCUACCCUCAUCUCCAGCUAGAGACACAACCGUGCCCCCUAGCUAGAAACCGAAUUAUACAUAUAUAUUCAUCAUCUCUUCAUUUAAAAAAAAAAAGACGGGCCGCACACAGAGGAGAAGAGAGACAGCCGCACUGAGCAAAACUAAAGGGGAGGGCAGCAGCCCUCACCCGUCCAUCACCAACCCUAUUCUGUCAUUCACCAUUCUCCUCAAGACCACUUCAUCUUCAAAGGAGAUUAAAAAGAAGCUCUCAUCAACAUCAUCAGCACUUCACCAACUCAAAGGAUUUUAAUUUUAAUAAACAGGGGAAACUUAAUAUCAAGUGGGUUCAUAAUUGCUUACAACAAUUUGUGAAUCUAGCUUGUGUUUCCUCUCCACUCUAUCCUUUCUCUAAUUUCUCAUGUAUUAGAUGAUAUAUUUGAUUAUGGGUUAUGAGUUAUUCAAUUUUUGAGAGUUAGGAUUAUGAAGCCCUAAACUCAUUUUGUAUAAAUAUUGGUACUUUAAUUAUAAUAGAUGCAAUUUUCAUUGUGUAUGCUUUGAAUCCGAAUGUGUUGGUCCUAAGAAGAAUGUUUAUAGGUUUUGUUACCCUUUGAGAUUAUGUUAUGGACAAUUUGAUAGAUAGAUUGAUAAAUUGACAACUUAUUAGUCUUGUGCAUCUAGGAUUUGAAGUGUGGUAACCAUUAACUAGCUUAAUUGUAGCUAAGCUUGCUUGGGUCUCUAUUAUCUUGCACUUUAGGCCUCUAAUUUGAAUGUUACGGCCUUAACCGGUGUAAUGCCUAUGUUAGAGAGUUGAUUGUGGCCUUAACCGGCAUAAUCGAUACACCGAAAGGAUAAUUGGUCAAGUAGCCUUAACCAAUAUUAGAUACGGGACUUGAUACAAUAGGAUAUGCAUUUAUGAAAUUGGUAUCAAUGUUUGCAUAUGAGUUAGUGUGGAUCACCCGACAUUUUCAUGUUCUCAUCACUUUAGUUCAUUAGUUAGUAGUUUAUUUCUCAUUUUGUUUGUCGUCAAUUUAGUUAACUCCUCAUUCCAUCUCCCUUUUAUAUUUCGACUCAUUGUAGAUAAUCAUCACUAGGCGUCUAGUUUUGAUUAGGCUUUGGUGAGAACUAGAGCCGAGCAUUACUAAGGCUUGGUGCCUAGAUUAGCAUUUUCUGUAAUUUUUUUUUCUUUGUUUGCUUAGCGACUUUUGUUCCGAUUAGCCUAGGAUUGUGGGUUAGCCACUAAUCCCCGUGGUAGGAUAACUUGGGCACUUAUACUUCCCUAUCUUGACAACGAUACAUUCUUUACAGCCCUCUACUAUCUGCAUUUGCAUAUCGUUUACAAUUGAGUUGCAGACUAAAUCAUCUCACUAUUUUCAGGACCACAAAAAAUUGAUUAAACAAAUAUCUACCAUUUUCUUCUCUGGCUUAGUUUUUUCUCUACAAGUACAACAAGCUUAAAUGUUUAAUUUCUAGCAGGGGUUGUAAAAAGAACAGAUGUGUUACACCUUACACUCAUGCUCUGUAGAAAUGUAAAUUUAAUUAGUGUCCUAAUCCAGCUUUUGUAACUUGUAGUUGUGAAAAGAAAACAACUUAUAGUUCAUUGCAGUUAAGAAAUUACCUGUCUCGAGAGGUAUGCUGGAAUAUGUGAGCUUUUAUCUCCCAAAGGUGCUGAAUGAUAAAAGAGUUUCAUGGCAUUGUCAUAAUCCAAUGAUUGCAAAUGAUAUGAAGAACCAAAUCUUGGAAAUUCAGAUCUUGAUGUGACCAAAAUCUUAUAAUCUGGCAUAUCGAACUGAAACUUGUCUAGUAGGGAUUCUCAUCCAGACCAAACAUCAUCCAAGACUAACAGUAAAGGGUUUCUUCCUUGUUCCUUUAGAAAUGUUUGCAGCCACUUGACUGCAGUUAUUUCGUCUGGGAAAGUAGGCACCUGGGAACCCUUGCGAAUAUGUAACUCUUGAACAAUAAGGCCUAGGUUUGGUGUGUUUGACACAGUGACAAAGAAGAUGUUGUUCUUGAAUUUAUCUGUACAGAAACAAAAAAGUACUCUAUUACUCAGAUGUUAUUUCAAUCUUUGUCUAAAUUGUAAAAAGGAAAAACAUACACAGCUGCAGCCCAAGUAUAAACAGACAAGUAUGAAAUGAGUGAAGCAAGAAUUGUAAAUUGCUAAUGUAGAAAUGAUACCUUUGACUUGCCCGUCUUGACAAAACUUUGUUGCCAAUGUAGUUUUCCCACAUCCUCCGGGAGCAGUGACCACAAGCAUCGAGACUCCAUCCUUAAGAAGUUUCAUCUUCAACUCCUGCAAAGGUUCAUCCAGUCCAACUGUAAACUGUGUAAGUUCAGGCACAACACACCAAGCUCCACCUUUAGCUCCAUUUUGUAUAUCAAGUCGGUCUUCAAUCCUCUUGAUCCCUGCCUCCAUACUGCAAGAGUUUGUUUCAACUCGGUCUUCAAUCCGGUACAUCCCCUCCAGCAUAUCUCCACUUCUCAUUUCAACUCCACUGAGCACCUUCUCCAUAUGCCUAUUGGUUGUUGCUAAAUUCUCAACCCCUGACUCUAAAAUGAUACUACUCAUUUCAAUCUCAGUGACCGUCCUCUCUAUCCUCUUUACCGAAAGCGAAGUCUCCUUCCCAUCCCUUACUCCCUGCGCCUGCAGUACCUUCAAUAGUCUUUCAAGAGCACUAUCCCAUCCAAGAAGCUUGUUGGCGUACUUGUACUUCUUGUAGAUGUUCCACUUACGAACCUUGGAGCACUUUUUAACAAUCUUUAUCCCCUCCUCCAUAUGUGCUUUGAACUUUUCUACUUCCUCCUUUCGAUAACCCAGUUCCUCAUUGCUUGCUUCUAUCUGCUUGAUCAGUGGUCUAUAUGAGUCCAACGUAUUAUUGAAGAUUAUAUAGAGGUACAGUUAUAGUGUUAAUAGAAAAAUAUUUUCUACACUUAUACAUAAUAUUUAACCUCCAUAUACAAAAAAAAUAAAUAUAUACAAAAUAUUCUACAGACCGUACCUUCGACUCUUUCCGAGCUUAAGAUCGCUGACUAGUGAGCAGUGACUACGUUCUACUAAUCGGGGGUCUAGAUGUAGCAAGAACUAUCACUGAAGGUUCCUUUUUUUUUUUUGGCGAAGUCACUGGAGGUUCCUUUGAUGGCUACAUCUCCCACAGGUAAAAUGAAAUAAUAUUACAACAGGCUAAGUGGAACUGAUUAAGAGUCAGAGCAAGUGGAAAUUAAGCGUUGAAGAAUUGAAGGUCUUUGUUUGCCUAGUGAUACCGUGUGACCCAUAUGUCAUAUUCUUCUUACUACACAAUCUGUAGAGGAGGAUAUCGAUGUUACUCCUUGUAAUUGUAAUUGAAAUGCUAUCAUCUUAAAGUUUGUAUUCGAUUCUCUUUAAAAUUCUUAGUUCGUUUUUAUCAGAAUUUCAAUUUAUGACAAAAAAAAUUGGCUUAUAACAAAUGACAAGUUCUAUCGGUUUGAACAAAUUUAUCCGACACUUAUGAUCUCAACGUGGGCGAGCUCUCCUGUCACACAGUUCUCUCUCUCUCUCUUUCUUUCUUUUUUUUUUUUUUCCAAAUUCAAAAAGCUAGUUGUUAUUGAAACGAAAGUGGGUGUGUGGCGUGAAAUGAAAGCUUCUCCAUCCUUGUUAAAUCAUGUUGACGUAUACGACAAAACGUGUUUCCAAAAUACCCAUUUAUUGUAUAUCUAUUUGUUGAUCACUGUUCAUCUACAGUAAAACGGUUUUGGGCUCGGGCUGCAUUUCGUCACAAUGUUUUCUGUGUUUUGCCCCUACUUUUUCCUAUGUUAUUCCGACUUUGCCCUUUGAUCUUGACUCGCCGUCUCUUGAACCUUUCAGAAUAGGAACGGUCUGGAAAAAGUAGGUUAGUGGGUAGGAAUGGCAGCAGGAAGCUCAUCAUCAAAGAUGGGAGAAGAGUAGGAGGAGGGGAGCAUCAAGUAGAGCGGGAAGGAGUACACGGUUAGAUUAUGCGGCGACGACACUCUGGGUGAGCUCAAGCGCCGAAUCUGCCAACUCACCACCGUCCUCCCCAAAUGCCAAAAGCUUCUCUACCCCAAACUCCUCCCUUCCAAACUCGCCGACGAUGCCGUUUUGCUCUCCUCUCUCCCUUUCAAGUCCUCUCUCAAAUUGACCAUGAUUGGUACUAUAGAGGAUGAUCGAUAUUAUCGUGGACCCCGUCGACUCUCCUGACAUUGUUGAUGACUUUGAGCUCGGCCAAGAUGAGGCUGUUGAUAUCAAAGAUAAUCAUCUCAAUAACCAAAAAUUGAGGAGACGUAUUGAUCAGUACAAGGGCCAUCUCUUUUCCCUUUUUUUUCUUUUUCUUUUUCAGUACAAGGACCUUCCAGAGAUCUUGAGACCUUCUNNNNNNNNNNNNNNNNNNNNGGGCAGGUUGUUUCGGAGCUCAAAUUCGUUGCAAUAGUGCAAUCCAAAGACGUGUAAGCCUCCUGAUCUUAUGCGUGUGUCGAUCUUCUUCUCUUUUCUUCUCAUCGUAAUCUCAUUGAUGUUGACCGGAAGGUCCUCAACAACGUCAUCACUUUCCCUCCCGACGGUGUUUUCUUCGUUCGCUCUAGUAUUGAAGUCGCUUCGCCGCAGAGAGUGAAUUUUCAGGUAGACUCGAAUUGAUCAAAUUUUCAGUCUAAGUCUGAAUUUGUUGUGUGCAAUAGGAAUUGGAAUUUGAAUUUAUAAUGCUGACUAUUUUGGUAUUGAGGACAUAAAGUUUCAUAUAGUGUAGUGAUGUCAGUGCCUGAAUUCUUCUCUGAUAUUAAUAUUAUCUUCAAUGCAAUAGGAGGACAUGAACUCAGCAAAUCUACUAGGAAUGCAGGAGCAAGAGUUGGAUAUGGUAGAUAUUAACUUCUAUAGUACCCUUCAGUUUGAUUUGUUUUUAUUUUUAUUUUUAUUUUUAUUUUUAUUAUUGGUUUCUUAAANNNNNNNNNNNNNNNNNNNNACUCUCUCUCUCUCUCUCUCUCUCUCUCUCUCUCUCUGUUUUUCAAAAUCGAUCACCAGAGUAUCAUAUCAAGCCCAGAAUCAGAUAAGCUUGAUCACAUAUCACAUAAGUCAAACUGACCUGGUGGGUGU
rnacentral:lncRNA from 1 species